CUUCUUCUUCUUCUUCUUCUUCUUCUUCUUCCUUCUUCUUCAUCAUCAUCAUCUUCUUCUUCUUCUUCUUCUUCUUCUUCCUUCUUCUUCUUCUUCUUCUUCUUCUUCUUCUUCUUCUUCUUCUGCUUAUAUUGCAGCUCUCUUCAGACACACCAGAUCCUAUUACAGAUGUGAACUCAGAACCUCUGGAAGAGCAGUCAGUGCUCUUAACCGCCAAGCCAUCUCUCCAGCCCUAGUUUCCUAUUUUUAAGCAGCAAGAUUUCAUGUAACCAGUAGGCUGGUCUCUACCUCCUGUAGUCGGAGGUUACCUUGAACUUCCGAUCCUCUUGCCUCUCUAUCCUGAGAGCUAGGAUUGCAGCGGUGCCCCCCCCCCCACCCUGCCACAUCGUUAAUUCCUGAAUUACAAAUACUGGAUGCAAAGUCCACUGUUGUUCUGCAUAAGUGAUAAUGGUGUUUCAGAGCUGAUGGAGAUGCGGGAGCUGAUGACUGAGAAAUAUUCAUCUGGUCCAACUGACCCCAACGUGCUGUGAUUUUGGAUUAGAAAUGAUUUUAAUUUUCUCCGAAGACCUUUCCUAUUGUUCUUUCUAGUUGUUUUUUUUUCUUCAUAAAUUGGUGAUGAAUUCUUACUAAGAUGGUUCAGUAAAAAUAUAUAAACGUUGACAU
rnacentral:lncRNA from 1 species